GAUGAACGCUGGCGGCGUGCCUAAUACAUGCAAGUCGAGCGAACGGACGAGAAGCUUGCUUCCCUGAUGUUAGCGGCGGACGGGUGAGUAACACGUGGAUAACCUACCUAUAAGACUGGGAUAACUUCGGGAAACCGGAGCUAAUACCGGAUAAUAUUUUGAACCGCAUGGUUCAAAAGUGAAAGACGGUCUUGCUGUCACUUAUAGAUGGAUCCGCGCUGCAUUAGCUAGUUGGUAAGGUAACGGCUUACCAAGGCAACGAUGCAUAGCCGACCUGAGAGGGUGGUCGGCCACACUGGAAGUGAGACACGGUCCAGACUCCGACGGGAGGCAGCAGUAGGGAAUCUUCCGCAAUGGGCGAAAGCCUGACGGAGCAACGCCGCGGGAGUGAUGAAGGUCUUCGGAUCGUAAAACUCUGUUAUUAGGGAAGAACAUAUGUGUAAGUACCUGUGAACAUAUUGACGGUACCUAAUCAGAAAGCCACGGCUAACUACGUG
rnacentral:rRNA from 1 species